rnacentral:rRNA from 1 species
CUUUGUGGAAACUGGUCAUGGGCGCAGCCUGCUCCAGCCCUGCCGCGUGACUGACGAAGCCCUCGGGUUCUAAAGAUUCAUUGGCGGGGACGAUAAUUACGGUACCCGCAGAUUAAUCCCCGGAUAUUUUUCGUGCCACAGCCGCGGUACUACGAAUUAACCAGCUUCUCCUCGGACUUAUUUGGCGUAAAGCGCACGUAGGCGGUUUUCUCAUUCAGUGGCUGAUUAUCCCGGGGCUUCAACCUUCGGAAUUGCUACUGUUAUUGCACGCUCCUAGAGUUCCGGAAGAGGGCGGGUGGGAACUUCCUUAUUGUUUAAGGGGAAAAACUUCUUUAUAUUUUUAGGAAGAUACACCAUCUGGCGAAGGGCGGCCCCGCUUGGUUCCCGGAACUUGACGCUUGAGGCUGCGAAAGCCGCUGGGGAGCAAAACAGGACUCUAAGACUACCCCCCUGGGCUAGCUCCCACGCCCGCUAGACUUACUGGAACUGCUCUAGCCCCGCUCCGGCCGAGCUUCUGCUCUCGCUCGGCUGGGCGCCAAGCUCUAAACGCCAACUAAAGCUACUCCCCGCCUCUGGGGGAGCUACCGGGCCCGCCAAGGGUUCUAAAAAAAUCUCCAAG